GAAAAGGGCGCAUUACCGCCAUGGGCACGUGUGGUAGACGGGGUUUUUAGCACGACUUUCUGGCACCUUUCUACUGGUUGAUUGAAUCAGAAGUAUUACCCCAGCCUGCUGUCUUGCAGCGAGAGUGGUCGAAUGCUGUGCUGGUGAGUGGAAGGCAAACCGGUCGAAUACAGCCGUUUGUAGACAGUGGUGGGCUGAACGGUACAACAGCUAGGUCAGCACCUGAAAGAACCAUUUUAAAGAGAGUAUUAAGUCCCCUCUAUCCGUGACAUAACAUAUACACUGGGCAGGGCUAGUGGAACUCGAGCUACAAAUAUGUCCAGACUACAGUUUGCUUCUUCUUUCUCGGAGUCCUCCCCGCCCCUACCAGCACCGGGAUUCGAACCUUGUGUCUAAAUGAGAUAUAUCUGAUACCUGUUGGCACACGUCUUCGUGGUGAGAAUGGCGGCUGUACCGACGAGAACUCCAGAACAAGUGAGUUCGCGCGAUGAGGAGUACUCGAAGAAUGAGACUACCCACGGUAGAUUACACUCCGGGCUAUCAUCGCCAUUCAGAAUUCGGCCAGCUUUCACGGGCA